UUUCCGGAGGACUCAAAUUCUCUUGCAAACGCUGUACGCGCCAAAUUUGUUAUCAUUGGACUGGGCCUCUCAGAAGUUGUUUGUCAACUAUCAACAACAAAAUGCCAGUCAAAAGAACACUCCGAAUGGAGGACAAUGACAACACACCAGCCAAGAGACCUGCACCAAACAGGAGCUUCUCCCCAUUGACUGGUACCUACCAGAUGAGUCCAAGUGCAGCUCCCCAAGCUGGUACAGUAAGGUUCCACAUCAUGACAAAGAAAUGACCUCAGAAAAUCAACAAACAAAACAAAAAAUAUUUAUAAAAGGUAAAGCCAAAGCCAGUGGGGAAACUGCUAAUUCCCAUAAACCACAGGUGCCACAGACAGAAGUGGAAAUACUACAUGCCAUCAGCUCUAAACUGGAAGCAUCAGUUGGAGCAUUUAUCAAGGCAAGGCAAGAGCUGAAGAAAAUAGUGGCUGCAGAGGGCAGCAGUGAGCUGAAGAGUUUCUUUUCUAGAGGCUCUGCUGACCUGAAGACCGAACUGAGGAGGCACAGAGAACUUGCAUCCAAAGCAGAGUCCAGCCUCAGCGUGAAUGGUGCUGGCCAGAGCCGUUUGCAAGGCGUUGUCCAGACUGGCAGCUCCUCUGAUUUCCUGAAAUCCAUAAUGGCCUUAUAAAGGUUUCUACUUAGGGAGCCCCUCAACUCAACUCUCAACAGACCGACGGCAAAUGGAAUAGCAGCUCUGCCUUCUCUCACGCGGUGGUGUACAUGUUUCCUCUUCGGAGACGGCUGGGUGAUGAAUAUAGAAUCUAAGCUGUCAUUUGUGAGGCAGAGGGAUGUCUCGGAGGCUGCCUGUCAGUCAUUGGGGGGAAUGUGUCAAUGUAAAACGCCUUAGACAUCAGACAGGUUUACGCCGAACCCUCACCGCUGACAAAUGUUGACUCUACAAUAACUGCGGCUAUACAGUGCUGAGAAAAUGUUCUUUCAGUGAGCGAACGCCCUCGUCCCAUUAGACCUGAUGCUAUAUGAAAUCCACCCCCACCAUGUCCUCUAGCUACCUUGAAAGGUGAAGGAAACUGGAAUAUAGGCUCUGAGAGGCUAGUGCACACACACACUUCAUUCUUUGGCUCUUUCUUUCUUUCUCUCUCUUUGGCUGUGCCAGGGAAGGCAGAGGGCCUCUUACAGCCUGAGAGACCUAAGCAACAGCUGGUGUGCACAGACACAUUUCCUAUUUCUGCCCAAGGUGGAUCAUGUAACUCUCACUCUAUCAGCCUUGGAGGCCGUGUGAAGGACAAAGCAAGCACAUCCAUAAACAAAACUAAUGUUUUCAUACAGGACCUCUGGAGGUAAAAGAGGGGACCCUUGGCGGUCUUACACCCGCUACUUCAACCCACCUUGCCUUCUACCCCCAUCACCUUAGACCUCUACCACACUAACCCUUUCCUCCUAGAGGGUCCCACUCUCCCUGGGUCUCACCCCCCCCCCCCCAGCGCUCCACUCUUCAUUUGACUGUGGUGCAUGAAGCGGGUGCGGCAAUGACGUUACCUGUGACUCGUCCUCCCUGUCCCAACUGACACAUGUUAAAACUGGAGCAUCGGUACAUUGCUGCAAGCAAACCAUCUGUCUAGAGACUACCUUCCUCCCAGUUGAUCCACAGUAGUCAUUUUAAAGCCACAGGCCCCUGGUUGUCCCACCCUUCAUAUUAUAGGAUGCAGGGCCAGUGGCUGCAGAUAUAGUGUAGCAGCGGCCCUCAGUGACCCGAUAACAUUUAUAGUAGUAAUGGAUUUUUUUAAUGGCUGUCAUUAACUCACAGGCAGAGAGGGGAAAGAUUGCUUGUACUGUUUUUUUUUCCUGUGGUAUUUCAGCUUUAUGACAUUAUGUUCAGAUAUGUCAUCUUCCAUCAUCCUUGUUUGAGGGCCUGUCUGACCUGCCACUGCUUUUUUUGUGUUGAAAUGCAUAGCCCUUUGUGCUUUGUGGACUCCUUGUUUUCCAAUUGGCUCAUUAAUCCCCCUUCCUCUCUCUCCCCUGUAACUAUUCCCCAGGUUGUUGCUGUACAUGAAUGUGUUGAGUCAACUUACCUGGUAAAAUAAAAUUGUCUAGGUGUUGUAAUGAAUUUUUCAGCUAAAUUAAAUGGUUGUAAGACAUG